GACGACGCAACGCCGCGUGGAGGAUGAAGGUCUUCGGAUUGUAAACUCCUGUUGCCCGGGACGAAAAGCUUCGACCUAACACGUCGAAGUCUGACGGUACCGGGUGAGGAAGCCCCGGCUAGCUCUGUGCCAGCAGCCGUGGUAAUACAGAGGGGGCAAGCGUUGUUCGGAAUUACUGGGCGUAAAGGGCGCGUAGGCGGCCUUCUAAGUCGAACGUGAAAUCCCUGGGCUCAACCCAGGAACUGCGUCCGAUACUGGGAGGCUUGAAUCCGGGAGAGGGAUGCGGAAUUCCAGGUGUAGCGGUGAAAUGCGUAGAUAUCUGGAGGAACACCGGUGGCGAAGGCGGCAUCCUGGACCGGCAUUGACGCUGAGGCGCGAAAGCCAGGGGAGCAAACGGGAUUAGAUACCCCGGUAGUCCUGGCCCUAAACGAUGAAUGCUUGGUGUGGCGGGUAUCGAUCCCUGCCGUGCCGAAGCUAACGCAUUAAGCAUUCCGCCUGGGGAGUACGGUCGCAAGGCUG
rnacentral:rRNA from 1 species